UGUGUGUGUGUGUGUGUGUGUGUGUGUGCCCAUACUGGGGCAUUCAGAAGUGGUCUCUGUAGUAGCUGUAUCCCUCCUCUCACCCUGGUCCACUCAGCCAGCCACACAGCUCUCUGAUCCACAGCAAAGCUGCAGUAAGAUGAGGGAAGGACAGAGGGAUACUCAGCCAGCCACAUGGCUCUCUGAUCCACAGCAAAGCUGCAGUAAGGUGAGGGAAGGACAGAGGGACACUCAGCCAGCCACACGGCUCUCUGAUCCACAGCAAAGCUGCAGUAAGGUGAGGGAAGGACAGAGGGACACUCAGCCAGCCACACGGCUCUCUGAUCCACAGCAAAGCUGCAGUAAGGUGAGGGAAGGACAGAGGGACACUCAGCCAGCCACACGGCUCUCUGAUCCACAGCAAAGCUGCAGUAAGAUUUGAGAGACAGAAAGAGAGAGUUGAUUGAGCUGGGCCUUGAUGAGCUGAUCGAGCUGACGGCGCAGAGCCUGAGCCACCUAGAGAUUAAAGAGCACUUCAACAUCAUCAAGGAAAUGGUCCGGGGGGAGUAUGACAAGGUGUUGCUGGUCACCCAUCGCUGCAGGGGUAUCCAAGAGUGUGCUGUGAAGCGCUGUGUCCUUCAGAUCACCAGUGCCCUGGAGUUCAUCCACGAGCAUGGUCUGGUCCACCGUGACAUCAAGCCUGAGAACAUCCUGCUGCUGGACAGCCACUGCUGCUGGGUGACUACCUCAUGAAGCUGGUUGAGAGAAUGCCAAGAGUGUGCAAAGCUGUCAUCAAGGCGAAGGGUGACUACUUUGAAGAAUCUCAAAUAUACAAUAUGUUUUGAUU